AUGCUCUACAUUCUGGUUGAUCCUGCCGGNACUGACUGCUAUCGUAUUGGUACUAAGCCAUGCGAGUCGUUGUACAUACAAGGCGGACUGCUCAGUAACACGUAGUUAACUUAACCUAUGGAUGGGGAUAACCUCGGGAAACUGAGAAUAAUACCCAAUGGACCACAGUGCCUGGAAUGGCCUGUGGUUGAAAUGAUUUGUCGCCGUAGGAUAGGACUGCGGCCUAUCAGCUUGUUGGUGAGGUAAUGGCCCACCAAGGCUAUAACAGGUACGGGGUCUGAGAGGAGGGGCCCGGAGAUGGGUACUGAGACACGGACCCAGGCCCUAUGGGGCGCAGCAGGCGAGAAACCUUUGCAAUGUGCGAAAGCACGACAAGGUUAAUCCGAGUGUCUCCUGCUAAAGGAGUCUUUUGUCAGUUGUAGAAUCACUGGUGAAUAAGGGGUGGCAAGUUCUGGUGUCAGCCGCCGCGGUAAAACCAGCACCUCGAGUGGUCAGGAGGUUUAUUGGGCCUAAAGCAUCCGUAGCCGGUUGCAUAAGUUUUCGCGUUAAUCUAUGCGCUUAACG
rnacentral:rRNA from 1 species